rnacentral:tRNA from 1 species
UUAAUCUUAGCUUAAUCGGUAAAGCACUAGUUUGUCAAGCUAGGUUAUGCGGGUUCAAGUCCCGUAGAUUCCG